rnacentral:lncRNA from 1 species
UGGAUAGUUGAUGCACAGAGGUGCUUGAUCACCUGUUGGGGCUGCCCAUUCUCCCAUGGUUCUUAUUCUUGGCUCUGGGGCCCUUACGGCUGGAUUUCCUUGAGGAAUUUCCUCAUGGACAGCAUGUUCAGCGUUGGCAGCAGGUGGUGCCACGUUUUCAGCCAUUUCAGAUGGUUCAGGAUGCGUUGAAGUGGUUUCAGGAGGCUGAUCUGCGAUUUCAAGGUGUCUUUGCGCAAAUCCGGAUUGCGCAGUCCCUAAAUGUGUACCUGUUUGCUUACCUAGUCUCCUGAUUGUGCGCUCAAUUUCUGG